rnacentral:rRNA from 1 species
AAUGCGGAAGAGAUAAGUGCUGAAAGCAUCUAAGCACGAAACUUGCCCCGAGAUGAGUUCUCCCUGACCCUUUAAGGGUCCUGAAGGAACGUUGAAGACGACGACGUUGAUAGGCCGGGUGUGUAAGCGCAGCGAUGCGUUGAGCUAACCGGUACUAAUGAACCGUGAGGCUUAACCUUACAACGCCGAAGGUGUUU